AUGCGGAAGGUUUUCGAUCACCCGGUCCGGGGAAAGGGGGCCUCUCAACGUCUUCUGCGUCUUUGCCAGGGAUCCCGCAGCGUCGCCUCCUUCGCGGUUGAGUUCCGCAACCUCGUGGCUGAGAGCGGCUGGAACGAGGAAGCCCUGGAAGCCUAUGCUAAGUGCGCUCUCCGAUGACAUCAAGGACCAGCUGAAUUCUCGGGAGGAAUCCGCAGAUCUGGAUGAGUUGAUCGCUCUCUCCAUUCGAUUAAACAAUCGUUUGCGAGAGAACGCUGCAGAGAGAGAGGUUUACGCCCAUUCUCCACGCACUCGUUCAAGCCAUCUGCAACACCUCAGCCCUCUCCUUCGUCUUUCGCUCCACCCCGCCGCGAGCGAGGUGGAGCGCAUGCAAAUCGGACGCACGCAUCUCCCGGAAUAAGACCUCUACUCGUCCCCCGUUCCGGUCUGCUUCGACCUCUACCAAUUCCUAGCCGACCUUGGACUCACAUCGCCCUGGACUUCGUCACCGGUCUGCUCACGUCCGAGGGCAACACCACCAUCCUCACGGUGAUCGACCGCUUUUCCAAGGCCGCACACCUGGUCAGCCACGUGUUCCGCCUUCAUGGCAUCCCUGCGGACAUUGUUUCGGACAGGGGCCCCAAGUUCACCUCUCAGGUGUGGCGCGCGUUCUGCGCGGCUCUAGGGGGUACAACCAGCCUUUCCUCCGGAUUCCACCCCCAGUCCAAUGGACAAUCGGAACGGGCCAACCAGGAGAUGGAGGCAGCGCUCCGCUGUAUCUCUCACGCCAGUCCCUCUUCCUGGAACUCUCAGCUUCCCUGGGUCGAGUAUGCCCACAACACGCUGGUCAACGCAUCCUCCGGCUUAUCCCCGUGCAUGGCCUCGCUGGGCUAGCAACCACCCCUGUUCCCCGAGUUAGAGGAGGAGAUCUCAGUCCCGUCGGUCCAGGCCCGCAUGCGCAGGUGCCGGCGCACUUGGAAGCGCACACGCGCUGCGCUUCUCCGUGCAUCCUCCCGCUCCCAACUGCAGGCCAAUAGGCGCCAUCUACCUGCUCCCCAGUACGCCCCCGGACAGAGGGUGUGGCUUCGGGCGAAGGAUCUUCCCUUGAAGGGAAUUUCUCAAAAGAUCUCUCCCCGUUUCAUUGGACCUUUUGAAAUUGAGACUAUUAUCAACCCCCGUGCCGUUCGUCUCCGACUUCCCCCAUCCCUCCGUAUACAUCCGACCUUCCACGUCUCCCAGGUCAACCCCGUCUCCACCAGCCCGUUGUCUCCCCCCGCACCGCCCCCACCUCCACCCAGGGUCAUCGACAACCACCCGGCGUGGACAGUCCGUCGCCUCUUGAAAGUACGACGCCGCGGCCGGGGUCACCAGUACCUCGUCGACUAUCGGUCCUGAGGAGCGCUACCUCCAUCUAGUGGCUACUUGACGUCAGCGGUCCUUCUCCUGACACACCAGUCUACAAUCACCAAUCACCACUCCCUACUUCAGCCGGGGAUCUCCUAUCAGCCGGCGCUGUUCGUCGUUACGUCUACCUAGUACCUCGUUGUUACUUCUCCCCCUGCAACCGAACCCCUGCCUGCCUGCCUGCCUGUUACCGGACCCCUGCCUGUCUGACUACCCGCCUGCCUACCAAUAAAUCCUGUUCCCUUUACCCCGUCUCUGCCUUCCUGUGUUCAGCACUUGGGUCCCCACGUUCUGUUCCACAACACUGAGAGUUUAAUCUUUUUUUAGUUAAUAGCUAUGGAAAAUGUCUCAUGGUGAUAAGCUUUAAAAUGUAGUAUUUAGUACUCAAACAAUGCACACUUUAAUAUGCGUUUAUUUACAUGUUAUUUUGAAAGUUGUUUAAUGAAAAUUGCAUUGUGAAGUGUAAAAAACAAAGUGUAUUGAGUUUUGUAUUGUGAAAAUACCAUUUUAUGAAUACUGUACAGGUAGGCCUAUAUCUAAUAUUUGAAAUUGCAUAAAAAAUGCACUGUUUAUUGAAUAUUGUGAACAUCAUUACAACUUUGGACUUUAACUACAACACUGCGUCCUCG
ensembl:lncRNA